UAUAUAUAUAUAUAUAUACACACACACACACACACACACAUACACAUAUAUAUGUGUGUGUGUGUGUGUGUAUAUA
rnacentral:miRNA from 1 species